GGGCCCGUAGCUCAAUGGUUAGAGCAGGGGACUCAUAAUCUCCGGGUUCUCGGUUCGAAUCCGAGCGGGCCCA
rnacentral:tRNA from 1 species